UAAUAACCAAUGAUGGAGCAUAGUAAUUAAGCCAACCCAUGAAAAGAGAGGAAAUGCCUAAGGCUGAGAGCAUUUCUGCAUGUACCUUAAUGAAUGAACACUCCUUAGGCUUCUCUCCGAAAAAGCCCAGGCUUUAGUAGGAGAAGAACGUGAGCAGGCGUUAACUGUUAAAGAGGAAGGGCAUUCACUUACAUGCUUUUCAACUAGGGUGGCACCGCGGGAUCAAAACUCUCGUCCCUUGU
rnacentral:ncRNA from 1 species